AAAGUGGAGCAAUCCAUGAGUAGAGUGGCGAACGGGUGAGUAACACGUGGGUGACCUACCUUCGAAUGGGGGAUAACGUCCCGAAAGGGACGCUAAUACCGCAUAACAUCCUGUCCUUGAACGGAUGGUGAUCAAAGCCGGGGAUCGCAAGACCUGGCGUUUGAAGAGGGGCCCGCGUCCGAUUAGCUAGUUGGUGAGGUAACGGCUCACCAAGGCGACGAUCGGUAACCGGCCUGAGAGGGCGGACGGUCACACUGGGACUGAGACACGGCCCAGACUCCUACGGGAGGCAGCAGUGGGGAAUUGUUCACAAUGGGCGCAAGCCUGAUGACGCAACGCCGCGUGGAGGAUGAAGGUCUUCGGAUUGUAAACUCCUGUUGCUCGGGACGAAAAGCUUUGACCUAACACGUCAAAGUCUGACGGUACCGAGUGAGGAAGCCCCGGCUAACUCUGUGCCAGCAGCCGCGGUAAUACAGAGGGGGCAAGCGUUGUUCGGAAUUACUGGGCGUAAAGGGCGCGUAGGUGGCCUUCUAAGUUGAACGUGAAAUCCCUGGGCUCAACCCAGGAACUGCGUCCAAGACUGGGAGGCUUGAAUCCGGGAGAGGGAUGCGGAAUUCCAGGUGUAGCGGUGAAAUGCGUAGAUAUCUGGAGGAACACCGGUGGCGAAGGCGGCAUCCUGGACCGGUAUUGACACUGAGGCGCGAAAGCCAGGGGAGCAAACGGGAUUAGAUACCCCGGUAGUCCUGGCCCUAAACGAUGAAUGCUUGGUGUGGCGGGUAUCGAUCCCUGCCGUGCCGAAGCU
rnacentral:rRNA from 1 species